AACGAACGCUGGCGGCAGGCCUAACACAUGCAAGUCGAGCGGGCCCUUCGGGGUGAGCGGCGGACGGGUGAGUAACGCGUGGGAAUAUGCCCUUCUCUACGGAAUAGUCCUGGGAAACUGGGGGUAAUACCGUAUACGCCCUUUGGGGGAAAGAUUUAUCGGGGAAGGAUUAGCCCGCGUUGGAUUAGGUAGUUGGUGGGGUAAUGGCCUACCAAGCCGACGAUCCAUAGCUGGUUUGAGAGGAUGAUCAGCCACACUGGGACUGAGACACGGCCCAGACUCCUACGGGAGGCAGCAGUGGGGAAUCUUAGACAAUGGGGGCAACCCUGAUCUAGCCAUGCCGCGUGAGUGAUGAAGGCCUUAGGGUUGUAAAGCUCUUUCAGCUGGGAAGAUAAUGACGGUACCAGCAGAAGAAGCCCCGGCUAACUCCGUG
rnacentral:rRNA from 1 species